UACAGAGGCCUCGAGCGUUAGGCGGAAUCACUGGGCUUAAAGCGUGUGUAGGCGGAUGUCUAAGUGCUUUGUGAAAUCCCACGGCUCAACCGUGGAAUUGCUUGGCAUACUGGGUGUCUUGAGCCAUCUAGGGGCGAGCGGAACAAGUGGUGGAGCGGUGAAAUGCGUAGAUAUCACGUGGAACGCCAACGGUGAAAACAGCUCGCUGGGGAUGUGCUGACGCUGAGACACGAAAGCCAGGGGAGCGAACGGG
rnacentral:rRNA from 1 species